GAUUAACGCUAGCGGCAGGCAUAAUACAUGCAAGUUGAACGAGAUUAGUUUUAGCAAUAGAACUAGUUUAGUGGCGCACGGGUGCGUAACGCGUAUGCAACCUACCUUAAACAGGGGAAUAGCCUCUCGAAAGAGAGAUUAAUACCGCAUAAUAUAUAUUUAAUGCAUAUUAGAUAUAUUAAACCUACGGGGGUUUAAGAUGGGCAUGCGUGACAUUAGCUAGUUGGUGAGGUAACGGCUCACCAAGGCAACGAUGUCUAGGGGGUCUGAGAGGAUGUCCCCCCACACUGGUACUGAGACACGGACCAGACUCCUACGGGAGGCAGCAGUAGGGAAUAUUGGUCAAUGGGGGCAACCCUGAACCAGCCAUGCCGCGUGCAGGAAUAAGGCCCUAUGGGUCGUAAACUGCUUUUGAACGGGAAGAAUCUAUUUACGUGUAAAUAGUUGACGGUACCGUUAGAAUAAGGAUCGGCUAACUUCGUGCCAGCAGCCGCGGU
rnacentral:rRNA from 1 species